UACGGAGGGUGCGAGCGUUGUUCGGAAUCAUUGGGCGUAAAGCGCGUGUAGGCGGCUUGGCAAGCCGGUUGUGAAAUCCCGGGGCCCAACCCCGGAACUGCAAUCGAAACUGCCUCGCUAGAGUCCCGGAGAGGAAGGCGGAAUUCCCGGUGUAGAGGUGAAAUUCGUAGAUAUCGGGAGGAACACCAGUGGCGAAGGCGGCCUUCUGGACGGUGACUGACGCUCAGACGCGAAAGCGUGGGGAGCAAACAGG
rnacentral:rRNA from 1 species